GGGGAUUUAGCUCAGUGGUAGAGCGCUUGCCUAGGAAGCGCAAGGCCCUAGGAAGCGCAAGGCCCUGGGUUCGGUCCCCAGCUCCG
rfam:Rattus norvegicus chromosome X, whole genome shotgun sequence.